GAAAAAGGCCAGGACAGCAGCCAGCCAGCCACAGCCCGCUCUACUCACUCUGCCGGAAUCUCUCAGGAAUGCUCGAAAAAGCACUCUGAAAUCUCUGUCUCCAGUGGAGUCCGCCUCGCUAAACAAGUCAGCGAGUCUAUAUUCCUGUGCCAACUGGAGACCAGCUUCCCGACUCAACCAGUGUCCUGACUCAAGCAACUCAAAUAAUUAUAGAACUGCUAUGAUGCUGGCUGCGAGACUUGGCGAAGACCAACAACGGCGAGGAGGACUGGCAUAACAUUUACUUGGCGCUAUCUCACCCCACCAUUUGAAAGUUUCAGAAGUGAAAUGAGAAUGGAGCAGCAACUUUCCACAGCAAGCAACAGAAUUAAAAAAAAAAAUAAAUCAAAUCAAAUUUAUUUGUCACAUACACAUGGUUAGCAAAUGUUAAUGCGAGUGUAGCGAAAUGCUUGUGCUUCUAG